rnacentral:rRNA from 1 species
UAUCUCUGUAGAGUCUGCAUAUCAAUAAGCGGAGGAAAAGAAACUAACUAGGAUUCCCUUAGUAACGGCGAGUGAAGCGGGAAGAGCUCAAAUUUGAAAUCUUCAAGGUUCUACCUUGACGAAUUGUAGUUUAAAGAAGUGUUUUCUGUUGGAGUUUUGGUAAAAGUUCUUGGAAUAGGACAUCAUAGAGGGUGAGAAUCCCGUAUUUGACCAUUACUUUCCAGCUUUGUGAUACACUUUCAAAGAGUCGGAUUGUUUGGGAAUGCAGUCCAAAAUGGGUGGUAAAUUUCAUCUAAAGCUAAAUAUUGGCGAGAGACCGAUAGCGAACAAGUACCGUGAGGGAAAGAUGAAAAGAACUUUGAAAAGAGAGUUAAACAGUACGUGAAAUUGUCAAAAGGGAAGCGUUUGACACCAGUGUUGUUUUCUCGAAAAUCAAUUAAAAAAGGCAGGAUUUUGUGUUGUAUUGACUUUAUCAGCUCUCUGCACUCUUUUCUUGUCUUUUUUAAUGCACUUUUCGUUUAACAAGUCAACAUCAAUUUCUUUUGUUGUAAAGGGUCAUUGGAAGGUGGCUUUCUUUUCGGAGAAAGUGUUUAUAGCCUUUGGCCUCUGCAAUCGGAGAGAUUGAGGUCUGCAGCGUAGAUCCUUCGGGGUUAGAUACAUUUGUGCUAAGUUAUAGCCUUUCAUAGACAACUUGUUGACUAUGAUCAGUCAUGUAGCUUACUCGCUUAUGCUAUUUUACCUACGCUUAGGAUGUUGACGAUCAGCUGAGCGCG